AGCUCUGAUUGUCCAAACGCAAUUCUUGCUCAUUUUUUAAUAAUUCAAGAGUUGUUUCUGGACAUCGUGGCUC
rnacentral:pre_miRNA from 1 species